CGAUACUUGGUGUGAAUUGCAGAAUUCAGUGAAUCAUCGAAUCUUUGAACGCACCUUGCGCUCCUCGGUAUUCCGAGGAGCAUGCCUGUUUGAGUGUCAUGGAAUUCUCAACCCAUACAUCCUUGUGGUAUAUGGGCUUGGACUUGGAGGCUUGCUGGCUAUCACUAGUCGGCUCCUCUCGAAUGCAUUAGCUUGAUUCCGUGCGGAUCGGCUCUCAGUGUGAUAAUUGUCAACGCUGUGACCGUGAAGCGUUUGGCGAGCUUCUAAUCGUCCCGUAUGGGACAACUUCUUGACAUCUGACCUCAAAUCAGGUAGGACUACCCAGGCUGAACUUAAGCAUAUCAAUAAGCGGAGGAA
rnacentral:rRNA from 1 species